UACGUAGGGUGCAAGCGUUGUCCGGAAUCAUUGGGCGUAAAGAGCGCGUAGGCGGCCGUGUAAGUCCGCUCUGAAAGUCAAAGGCUCAACCUUUGAAAGCGGGUGGAUACUGCACGGCUAGAGUCCGGAAGAGGCGAGUGGAAUUCCUGGUGUAGCGGUGGAAUGCGCAGAUAUCAGGAGGAACACCAACGGCGAAGGCAGCUCGCUGGGACGGUACUGACGCUGAGGCGCGAAAGCGUGGGGAGCGAACAGG
rnacentral:rRNA from 1 species